CCUACGGGAGGCAGCAGUGGGGAAUUUUGGACAAUGGGCGAAAGCCUGAUCCAGCAAUGCCGCGUGAGUGAAGAAGGCCUUCGGGUUGUAAAGCUCUUUUGUCAGGGAAGAAACGGUGUUUUCUAAUACAGAAUGCUAAUGACGGUACCUGAAGAAUAAGCACCGGCUAACUACGUGCCAGCAGCCGCGGUAAUACGUAGGGUGCAAGCGUUAAUCGGAAUUACUGGGCGUAAAGCGUGCGCAGGCGGUUUUGUAAGUCUGACGUGAAAUCCCCGGGCUCAACCUGGGAAUUGCGUUGGAGACUGCAAGGCUAGAGUUUGGCAGAGGGGGGUAGAAUUCCACGUGUAGCAGUGAAAUGCGUAGAUAUGUGGAGGAACACCGAUGGCGAAGGCAGCCCCCUGGGUCAAGACUGACGCUCAUGCACGAAAGCGUGGGGAGCAAACAGGAUUAGAUACCCUGGUAGUCCACGCCCUAAACGAUGUCUACUAGUUGUCGGGUCUUAAUUGACUUGGUAACGCAGCUAACGCGUGAAGUAGACCGCCUGGGGAGUACGGUCGCAAGNUUAAAACUCAAAGGAUUGACCGGNNGAGAGNGCGAGACGACGACGAGGGAGGAGG
rnacentral:rRNA from 1 species